ensembl:snRNA U6 U6 spliceosomal RNA
UCACUUUGGCAGUAGAUAUACUAAAAUUGAAAUAGUAUGAAGAUCAACAUUGCCCCUGCACAAAGAUGGCACACAGAUACGUGAAGAUAAAAAAAAAAAA